UACGGAGGAUCCAAGCGUUAUCCGGAAUCAUUGGGUUUAAAGGGUCCGUAGGCGGUUCAGUAAGUCGGGUGUGAAACCUCCAGGCUCAACCUGGAGACGCCACCCGAUACUGCUGUGACUUGAGUCUGGUAGGGGAGCACGGAAUCUCUGGUGUAGCGGUGAAAUGCACAGAUAUCAGAGGGAACACCGGUGGCGAAGGCGGUGCUCCGGGCCAGUACUGACGCUGAAUAGCGAAAGCGUGGGUAGCGAACAGG
rnacentral:rRNA from 1 species